AUGGGUGCCAAGGGUGUACUUAACAUUGUUUGGGUCAAUGUUAGCAACAUCCCUUUGGACAAAAGAUGUGAAAAAAAUAUUGCAUAUGUUGGAUCUUUGGUGGGUGUAACUCUAGACAUUGAUAAGUCUACUGUCAACGGACCCGAGUCGGUCAGGAUCAAACUGGGUUGUAGAGAUGCUGAGGACAUCCCAGCUAAGGCAGAGGGGGUAUUGGGAGAUCAUUUUUAUGAUUUCUUCUAUUCAGUGGACAAAAUCCUUGUUAAAAAUACCCCAAAAGAAAAAGUGUCAGUACCUUAG
rnacentral:rRNA from 1 species